rnacentral:rRNA from 1 species
UACGGGGGGGGCAAGCGUUGUUCGGAAUUACUGGGCGUAAAGGGCUCGUAGGCGGCCAACUAAGUCAGACGUGAAAUCCCUCGGCUUAACCGGGGAACUGCGUCUGAUACUGGAUGGCUUGAAUCCGGGAGAGGGAUGCGGAAUUCCAGGUGUAGCGGUGAAAUGCGUAGAUAUCUGGAGGAACACCGGUGGCGAAGGCGGCAUCCUGGACAGAAACUGACGCUGAGGCGCGAAAGCUAGGGGAGCAAACAGG